AAGGAUAAUAUCGGAAACAAGAUCUUCGGAUCUUGUGUUGACGUUUUGCGUUCAGUUUUGAAGGUUCACCUUCAGGCGGCAACGCCUUUUUGCGUGUUCUUUCAUAAGAUAACUUGUUCUUUGAAAACUGGAUAAAACGACAUUGAAACAAAGCAAGAAACAAAGCGAUUCAAGAAGUGACACGGCUGAAUUUUUUCAGCCAACUUUUUAACAAACCACUU
rnacentral:misc_RNA from 1 species